GGCCGGUUAGCUCAGUUAGUUGAGCGUGGCGCUAACAACGCCAAGGGCGCCGGUUCGAUUCCCAUUCGGUCA
rnacentral:tRNA from 1 species